rnacentral:rRNA from 1 species
GAUGAACGCUGGCGGCGUGCCUAAUACAUGCAAGUCGAGCGAACGGACGAGAAGCUUGCUUCUCUGAUGUUAGCGGCGGACGGGUGAGUAACACGUGGAUAACCUACCUAUAAGACUGGGAUAACUUCGGGAAACCGGAGCUAAUACCGGAUAAUAUUUUGAACCGCAUGGUUCAAAAGUUAAAUACGGUCUUGCUGUCACUUAUAGAUGGAUCCGCACUGCAUUAGCUAGUUGGUAAGGUAACGGCUUACCAAGGCAACGAUGCAUAGCCGACCUGAGAGGGUGGUCGGCCACACUGGAACUGAGACACGGUCCAGACUCCUACGGGAGGCAGCAGUAGGGAAUCUUCCGCAAUGGGCGAAAGCCUGACGGAGCAACGCCGCGUGAGGGAUGAAGGUCUUCGGAUCGUAAAGCUCUGUUAUUAGUGAAGAAGAUAUGUGUAAGUAACUGUGCACAUCUUGACAGUACCUAAUCAGAAAGCCACGGCUAACUACGUG